AAAAAUUGCAAACUGCAACAGCAGCCCCUCAGGAGGUCUUUUUACCUGAUGCUACGCAACAGGGCAUGCUAAUUAUACUUAAAUAGCAGAAAAAUGGCUCCUAGGUGGCUGGAUGGGGUAGAUUACGGACAUAAGAGGCCACUAGCAUUCAUUCCCAAGCCCAGUCAGCCUAUCUGAGUAACGGUGGUGCUCCUGGGGCAGAGUGUAUUACCCCCCGCCUGCAAUGUGCCUAACUAGUGUCAAUAUUGACAGAGGAGCUCAUGGGAGAACAGAUGGAUGGAGUGAACCAAAAGACAGCCACUUCUCAGUCUUCAUUGUGCAGGAGGAGUGAUCCGGGCGAAGUCGUGCUCCACUGUCACCUUAGCAAACCUUAUCGCCUCCUCAUAAACAUCCAGGAAGGAGUAAUUCUCUCACAUGCUCCUGCCUUGAGUGCUGAGUGGAGUUACAGAAGGUGAAGGGCCACAGAGGAGAAUGGCUGCCAGGCAUCUUUCCAUACCAGCUCCUUCUUUCCAUUCCUUCUUGGGCAUGGAUUUAUAUAGCACAUUAACAAAGAGCCAGGGAGGAAAGGAAGAAUUUCUAAACCCUUUGCUAGAAAUCCUCAAGUGUUUAGCUACACUGGAGCUACCCCAGGUGCUGCUACCCCAGGUCCUCUCUGUGACCCUGCCCCGUCUCUGCUGGCUGAACACCAUAUCUGAAUGACUGUGCCCUGACUACUGAGCUCCAAGGGUCUGGAAUGCCACUUCACAUCACAGGAUAACAAGGCAGCAGCUGUCCACCCCUCUGAGCACGCCUGGACAUCUGGCUGGUGUCUUUCCAAAGGUCUCCAUCCUGAGCAGUCCUCAAGCAAACACUCGAACCUCCUGUGGUGAACUCAGGCCAAGACUAUGUGCUUGACUGUCGGUGGCAGCUGCUGAGCUCCAGAUGACACGGGUCAUGAAGAGUUGGGCUUUUAUCUCAGUUCUUCAAACAACCAGAUCAGACGUAACAGGUUUAUGGAAGACACUUCCUAGCCAUCUUGUGAGCUCCUUGAAGGAACUGUGUCUUUAUCUGUAUAGCCCCACCUAGCAGAUGCUCAAGGCAUGCUUGUGGAAUGAAUAAGGGAACAGAUCAUUUCUUCUGAGCUGUUUGCAGUCUGGCUAAGCCAAUUGAAAGAAUGCCUUCUCUUGCAAUCUACAAAUUGAAAAGCCUGUGAGACCCUCAGGACACUCAGUUCUGUCCUACUGGUGGCGGAGUGGGACUCCUUCAUGAUGUGGCACAGUUUCCUUGAGUUUUAGGAAGAAACGGCCCAUGUGGCAGAUUCAGAAACAAUGAAUCAGCACCUAAACAAACAGGAAGAUUUGGCACAAAAAAGUUUGCUUCGGGCAACCAUUGCCAGCUCUAUCCAGACCUCCAAGGAAUGAAAAAACUGAAGAUCAGAGAGGUUGUAUAACUUGCCUAAGGUCAUAAAACUACUUAAUGAUGAAAAUUUAAAACCAAGUCUGUCUGACUCUGUAGCCAUGGUUCUCACUGUCUGGUCCCUGGACCAGCUGUAUCAGCACCUCCUGGGAACUCAUCAGAGACCUAAUGAGUCAGAAAUUUGGGGGGUCAGGUGGAGCCAUCUGUGUCCUGGCAAGCCUCAAGGUGAUUCUACUGGACACUCCCAACCAAGAACCACUGUUCCAGCACGUUCCCUUCAUCUCCACGCCAUGCUGCGUCUCCAACUUCCUGCUCUCCAAAGGCAAAACUCACCAUGAGGGAAUCAUCCAGAAAUAAAGUUGAUUUUCACUUCUCCCUGCAGAUGCUCCCAGGGAGUUAAAGGUGACUCUUCACUCCAGACUCUAAAUUUGACCCCCUUUCAGGCGGCCACCCCAGGUUCAUUAUCACACCAAUCAGCCAACUGUUUUGAGUAGAAAUCUCCUUUCCCACCCUGUAAGGAAUUCCAGGACACCGUCUAUGAAGAGGGAAAUCAUAACUUGGCUAUUUGUUCAGGACACCCCUACCCUCUUCCAGACCAGCAGCUCAUUGAGACACCUGCCCUCGAGAUACCACUUGACUACUGCCGCCAGUCGACAAUUAUUGAUCAAGUACUGUGUCAGGUCCUCUGCUAGGCCGUUUGAGACAUGUUAUCUCAAUUAAUCCUUACAACAACCCAAGAGGUAGACAUGAUUAUUAGCCCAUUUCAAAAACAAGAAAACUGAGGCACAGAUUAUUUGCCUAACUUCACUAGCUAAUAAAUUACUGAGAUGAGACUUAAACUCAGUUUGUCUCAAGAACCCCAUGGUCUUAUCCAGUAUGCCCUAUUGCCUGUUACGGGCCUUUGUCAAACAAGUCUUCUCUCUUGGUGCACUCCAGGCCAACUUUCUGUGUUCCAGCUUGAGAGUCCUCUUUGCAGCCAUGUGAAUCCAGUGUCUUCCUCUCGUUAAUCCUCUAGGACACCUCUGCCCAGCUUUCUUCCAUCCCCCCGCACCUGGCCAUUUCCCUCUGGAGCUGUUUCCUACUAGCUGGGCUCUCACCUCCCAGACACUUUUCCUUCCUUUAGACCAGCUUCAUCUCCUCUAUGUGCUGCUCAGCAUGGAAUAAAUUCUAUCUUUUUCCAAUUCCCAAUUUCUAAGGCAGGUUUUUUUUUUUUUUUAAUCUUACCAUCUCUGCUUUGACCAGACACUUGGUACAACUUCAAACAUUGUCGCCUGUGGUUUGGCUGCCUAACAAGGAGCUCUUGGCCCGCUUCGAAGCCAGCCUUCUUGAAGCCUGCCCUCACAUUUAGCGCCCUUAAUAUAGACUCUGUCUACCACAGAUCAGCGUGUACUGAGAAGAUAGAUCGGAAUCAGGGAGGAGGCUAUUUCAUUGCCUGGUGGUGGAACCAAUACUCAGUCUGGUGAUAUAAACUGAAAAAUGCAAAAGUGGGGAAGGCAAGGUGAAGAGCGAAGGCAGCUUCUCAGACUUGGCUCGUGAGUUCAUAGUAAGGCAUCUCCAACAAGAGUCUUGCAGCGGCCUCCUGGAGGGUCCCUUCCAUCCACAGUGAUUGGGGCACAGGCUGGCUCAACCAUAAAGGCAAACAGGAAACUCUGCCAGCAAAGGAAAAAGGAAGCUCUCAGAUUCCUGUUCCAAGCAGCCUUCUGGGAAGGACUUUAUCUUGGGGGAAAGUUUUACUAAAGGAAAUUUGACCUGAAGUUGCAAGUUUCCUUUGUUGAGAAAAGCAAAUAACAUGAAAGGGGAGAAAAGCAACAAGAUGAAAGAUUGGUCAUCACAGAUGCAGAUCUAAUCUCUGCCAUAAUAUAAACUGGAAGAACCUAGAACCCUGGGAGGUGAGAGUGGCAGGCGGUGGGGGGGUGACAUGAGCAGAAACAACAGACAAGACGAGGCUGACCUCCCACAGGGGCAGCGAGGGCCCUGGCUGACCAGAGAACAGGACGAAAUAAGGCUUUCCAGGGCAGGUUAGAGUCCUUUAGUAUCAGGAUGCAGUGUUUAUAAUCUCAUGGGCCAUGGAGAAUUCUGUGCUCUAAGCAUCUGGGAAAUGAGAUAAUCAAAGCAUAUAAAUAAUACCAGUCAACUUUUUUAAAAAACGGUCAGUAUUUUUAAACACAUAUUAAAAUCUUCUUGAGCCCUUUGCACAUAUUAACUAAUUUAAACCUCACAACAACCCUAUGAAAUACAUAACCAAUAUUAUCACUUCCCUUUAUAGGAGCACAGAAAGGUUAAGCACCUUGUUCAAGGUCACACAGUUUGUAAGGCUCAAAAGCAGGAUUUGAACGCAGGCCAUCUGGUACUAACGUCACUCCUCUUAACCACCAUACCUGACUGCAAAGCAGUCUCUAAAAUUAACGAAGUGUGAUAUGGUUUGGAUGCUUUGUUUCCUCCAAAUCUCAUGCUGAAAUGUGACCUCCCAUGGUGGUGGAGGUGGGGCCCGGUGGUAAGGACAGACCUCCCAUGAAUGGCCUGGUGCCCUCCUCGUGGUAAUGAGUUCUUGCUCUGCGGUCACAGGCAAUCUGGUUGUUUCAAAGAGUGUGGCACCUUCCUAGCCCUCUCUCAUCAUAGGAGGUACUGGCUCCCUCUUCACCUUCCUCCAUAAUCGAAAGCUUCCUGAGGCCUCACCAGCAGCAGAUCCCAGCACUAUGCUUCGCGUACGAACUGCAGAACUGUGAGCCAAAAUAAAACCUCUUUUCUUUAUAAAUCCCCCAAUCUCAGAUAUUCCUUUAUAGCAAUGCAAAAACAGACUAACUCAAGUGUAUCUUCUUCGCUCUGUUCUUUAAGAAGUUUGGCAACUCUUGGGAUGGUAAAAGAGGAUAGCAGAAAGAAAACUGGGUUGGAAUCCUAACUCUAUGAUUGAAGAAGGGGAGCUGGGACCUUGAACCUCAUAAGGUGAUUAUAAGUAAUGAGAUAAUAUGCGUCUCUGGCACAUAGUAGAUGCUCAGUAAAUCAUUACACUAGCUCAUAUUCAUUGAUGUUUAUCAAGGGCUAAGUAUGUGCUAGGCCCUAGACAUAAAUCUCCUGAAUUGAAUUCAACCAGAUUAGAUCGAUUUUACACUCCUGCUUCGUUUCAGGGCAUGAGGAAUGCUGAGAGUCAGCCUCUUGGGGAAGUUCUCAAAACUUCAACUCAAUUUGUGUAGUAGUUGUGCACAAUUCAGUUUAAGGAUUCUGCCCAUCACGUGAAGGACCUCUUCAAGGAGAACUACAAAGCACUGCUCAACGAAAUAAAAGAGGAUACAAACAAAUGGAAGAACAUUCCCUGCUCCUGGGUAGGAAGAAUCAGUAUCGUGAAAAUGGCCAUACUGCCCAAGGUAAUUUAUAGAUUCAGUGCCAUCCCCAUCAAGCUACCAAUGACUUUCUUCACAGAACCAAAAAAGAGGCUGCAUUGCCAAGUCAAUCCUAAGCUGAAAGAACAAAGCUGGAGGCAUC
rnacentral:lncRNA from 10 species